CCUACGGGAGGCAGCAGUGAGGAAUAUUGGUCAAUGGACGGAAGUCUGAACCAGCCAUGCCGCGUGCAGGAAGACGGCUCUAUGAGUUGUAAACUGCUUUUGUACAAGGGUAAACCUGAAUACGUGUAUUCAGCUGAAAGUACUGUAUGAAUAAGGAUCGGCUAACUCCGUGCCAGCAGCCGCGGUAAUACGGAGGAUCCAAGCGUUAUCCGGAUUUAUUGGGUUUAAAGGGUGCGUAGGCGGAUGGUUAAGUUAGUGGUGAAAGGUUCGGGCUUAACCGGGGAACUGCAUCUAAUACUGGUAGUCUAGAGAGCAGAUGCGGUAGGCGGAAUGUAUGGUGUAGCGGUGAAAUGCUUAGAUAUCAUGCAGAACACCGAUUGCGAAGGCAGCUUACCAAUCUAUAACUGACGUUGAGGCACGAAAGCGUGGGGAGCAAACAGGAUUAGAUACCCCUGUAGUC
rnacentral:rRNA from 1 species